CAUCAGUCAUCUCCUCCCACAGGAACCCUAAAUCUGAAACUACCUUGACUCCCUGCCACGGUUGAGAAAAUAGCGACGCGGAUACACACUCGUCUUCACGAUCCAGCGAUUCUACUCUCCGAUGAGUCUUUGCAGGGUGAAGAAUCGCGAGUCCAGCCGCCGGUGAAGAAUCACGCGAUUCGUCUGGAAAUCGCGAUUCAUCCCUGAUACAGAGAUUCAAGCACGAUUCAGGAACAAAAACGAGACAACCUCCGAUUCGUAUCGGUAGCAGCUGGAAUCGUAUCGAAUCCUGUGAUACGUAUCGUGAAUUGUACAAUACUAACUAUCAUGAUUUAGGCUAGUGCUGGAGCUUAUUUGACUAGGUUAUAUAAUGUUGUUAAAUAGCUGCCAAGUGCUACUGCAUUGCCGAAUUUCUUGAAUUCGCAAUCACCACUUCGUCAACUAUUGCGGUCGCUAUGGGUGUCGUGGGUACAGAAAGCGUCCUGCAUCCUCUUGUCAUCUUUGGCGAGUCUCCAGCCAAUUGAACUUUUGAGCUAAUAUCUCAAUAUUUACCUAUUUUAUUUUCAUUUGCAUACAACUUAAUUCGUUGUACAUAUAUAAUUGAUAUAUAUCAUGUUUGAUGUUUCAAGUUUUCAACUGCUAUGGGACUUUUGCUAUUUGUCCGUGACGCUAUCCGCUAUAUGAUAUGGCAGAUCAUUGGCUUUCCGCCACUUUCUGCAAUCCGCAGUUGAUAAUACUGGGUUAUAUGCAUGUAUUUACAAGUCGAAGCUCAUUUUUCUUUGUUUGAUGUUUGUUUCCUGGCUGCAAUCAUGAUUAUGUUCUAUGUAUAUCUUCAGUUGUAUAUUUUGGAUUUGAGAACCUUUUGUUUUGUUGGAAAGCCAACACACAAAACAUUAAAUCAUAAUGCCGAUGUGUUUUUUUUUUUUUUACAUAUAGAAUUUGGAUAUUACUACAUAUAAGAACAGAAAAUAAAUAAAUACAAAAAAAAUUCAGUUUCUGUAUACUGUACAUGAAUUUGUCUGUGAAUAUCUUUCAGUGUAGGUAUCCUUCUUCUCAUGAGCAGUGAUGCUGCCAAGACAUGUUCAAACUAUUGGUAGUCUCCUUGAGAGAGUUAUGCAAGUUCAUGUUGUGCAGCUCGGAGGUAUAAAUACACAUGUCGACUUGUAAUGAGCUGCCAAGAAAGCUCAACAAGUCUGAGAGGAAACCACCUGUGACAAGUUUUAAUGAUCUUAAGCGUCAAGCUAGACUGAAGAAAAAGGAGAGGCAAAAGGUACAUGAGAAUACAUUACAACCUCCUGAAAAUGGUUUAUUGGUUGAUCAUUUAAUUCCUAUUGCUCAUGAAGUAUAUGCUGCCAGAUGUGAACUAAUAUCUAGUGUUUCAACACUUGUCAACUACACUGCUAUUUAUACAUGCAGGUCACACCAUAACUCCAGUAUUCUUCAUUGUGGUUGUUCAAGCUUUUAGCAUGUUGCCUGUAGAUCUUCUAUUCAACUAUGAUAUCUGAUUCAGAUCUGACUUUCUAUCAAAAGUCUUUUCUUUCUAUUUGUUAUCUUGUAUUUUUGGAAUGAACUUGUACUUUUAACUUGUCAAGUAAGUGAUUGAAUAUGAUUUUUCAUUGUGGGUUUUAAAUGGUUUCUUAAUGCAAAAACUGAACAGGAUCUAUUUGAAAUGAAUAAUGUAAACAUGUCUCGUAACUUGGGCUUUUCUUUAUAUGCAUAAUUUUUUAAGCUUUGGAUGCUUUGCAGCUUAUGUGGAGAAGUUCAUGUUGGUCAUGCACCACAUAAAAUUAGAACAUGCGAUGUUAGAGGAAGCCCAUCAAGCAAAGAACAUAGUUGGGCCAAAGUUGGUGUUGAACAUGUUCUGCCACUUGUAGAUUCAUUUCAUCUGUAUGAUAGAAUAGGGAGGGCUGUUUCACACAAUGAAAUGCUUGAAGUGGACCGAAUUCCAGCAAUUGUUGAAUUGUGUGUCCAAGCAGGUAUUAAUAUACCUGAGUACCCUACCAGGAGAAGGUCCUUCCCCUGUUUACACUGUUGCUGGUAGGAUUAUUGAUUUUGAGAAAAGAUUUCCAAAAGAAAUUUCUCUUGGCGAAGAUAUAGAAGCACAUGGGUUUUGGUUAAUGGAUGUAAACACAAAUUCUAUGGCAAUGCAAUCUGACGAUAUCCAAGGUUUAUGAAAACACACACAUUCUUUCCUUUGUUAACUGUGCUGACUAUGUGAAUGCAUUUGUGCAGCUACUGCUGUUCGAGGCAUGAAAGCCUGGGAAAAAAUGCGUGGAGGAGCUUCAAAACUUAUGGGGAAGUAUGCUGUCCAAACUUGUGGAUAUUAUCCAGAGGUGCAAGUGGGACCCAAAGGUCAUAGAGUACGAAAUUGUCAAGCUUUCAAACACCAGAUAAGGGAUGGGCAACGUGCAUGGUAGGGGGCAACAAUUGAUGAUUUGGCACCUCCAGUAUAUGUCUAUCACAUCCGAGAUGAUCAACAUAGGAAGCCUUUGGUAAAUGAGUUGAAAAGGUACUAUGGUAUGCUGCCUGCAGUGGUUGAGCUAUUUGCCCAGGCUGGGGCACCAGUUGAUAAGAAUUAUGCUUCUAUGAUGAGGGAAGAUGUCGUAAUCCCUGAAAUGGAUGAGGAAAAGUUGGUUGUUUAAAGCAAUGGUUUGAUUGACUUCAUAUGCAUGGAAGAGGCAUUUGGGCAAUGGAAGAGUCUAAAUAUGAAAAAUUUAAGGUUUAAUUUCUUUCAAAUUAUAACAGGUUGUAUUUGUAUAUAUGCUAAGAUAGAGGACCUGUCUAAUGUUGGUAAUUAGACAUAUAAUAGGAUGAAACAAGAGCAUUGGGCCACUAAACUAUCUCAUGUUCUAUUGGCAAUAUAAGGUUGCAGUAUUGAUUAUAUGGAACAAAUUUACUUUUGGCACUCACUGCAUCAUCACCUAAUUUAGUUAUAGAUGAAAAAAGACUUGGAUUUCUUGCUGGGAUUCCUUUGAGAACAACUCUUCAUCCCUCUACCGAUCUCAUUCAUCACCUAAUUUAGUUAUAGUCUGAUCUGCUUUUAUGCAAUAUUUUGUAUUGGUAGUAUAAUUUCCUGUUACUAAAACCAAAGAAAACUUUAGCCCACAAGGUUAAUUUAGUAUCUUCUGGAAUACAAGAGGCAGAGGGAUGGUCGACAAUGCACUAGAUAAGGUGGAAAAAGUGUUUUACUUGCCAAGCAUAUUAGGAAGAGGAAGAAAGUGUAAAAGGAACUUCAAAAAUUGGCAACAGUAAAGUAGUUCCUGUGCUCGAGCUCUAUCAGAUUUUCAGAACAGGUUGUGGCUGGGUUCUUCAGUGUUCCACUUCCAAAUCCUUGUUCAGCUGGUGCAUCAGAAUAUUCUUCGAGACUUCAUAGAACAGUUGGGAGUUGGGUGCCUUGAACGAUAGAUUGUUGUUGCUUAAUUAAAACAAAUUGUAUCAUCUACAUAUAUCCUACAGUCUUGUAAUAUAUAUUAUCAUCUCGACCUUAACACUUUGUUAAUAAUUAUAACCAUGUGUGUUUGUAUUCCCAGUUAGAGACAACGAACACCAAUUCAACAUUUCCUUUCCUUUUCUUUGCCUUGAAAAGUGAAAUUCUCCAA